UACGAAGGGGGCUAGCGUUGUUCGGAAUUACUGGGCGUAAAGCGCGCGCAGGCGGUUCUUCAAGUCAGUGGUGAAAGCCCGGGGCUCAACUCCGGGUCGGCCGUGCGAACUGGGGGACUGGAGCUUGUCAGAGGCAGGCGGAAUUCCGGGUGUAGCGGUGGAAUGCGUAGAGAUCCGGAAGAACACCGGUGGCGAAGGCGGCCUGCUGGGACAGUGCUGACGCUGAGGCGCGACAGCGUGGGGAGCAAACAGG
rnacentral:rRNA from 1 species